rnacentral:rRNA from 1 species
ACGAUACGCUUUCUAAGAGUCAAGUUGUUUGGGAUUGCAGCUUAAAAUGGGAGGUAAAUUUCUCCUAAGGCUAAAUAACGGCGAGAGACCGAUAGCGAACAAGUACCGUGAGGGAAAGAUGAAAAGAACUUUGAAAAGAGAGUUAAACAGUACGUGAAAUUGUUGAAAGGGAAACGAUUGAAGCCAGUCGUACCUUCGGGUAAUCAGCCUUUCGGGUGCGAUUCUGUGGAGUUUGAGGAGCUUUAACACCUUCAUGCUUUGCAUAUUCGUGCUCUUGGGUGUACUUGCCCGUGUGGUUGGUUAACAUCAAUUUCGGGCACCAUAAAAUGGCUGGAGGAAUGUGUAGCUUCGAUA